AGAGUUUGAUCCUGGCUCAGAUUGAACGCUGGCGGCAGGCUAACACAUGCAAGUCGAGCGGAUGAUGGGAGCUUGCUCCUGGAUUCAGCGGCGGACGGGUGAGUAAUGCCUAGGAAUCUGCCUGGUAGUGGGGGACAACGUUUCGAAAGGAACGCUAAUACCGCAUACGUCCUACGGGAGAAAGCAGGGGACCUUCGGGCCUUGCGCUAUCAGAUGAGCCUAGGUCGGAUUAGCUAGUUGGUGGGGUAAAGGCUCACCAAGGCGACGAUCCGUAACUGGUCUGAGAGGAUGAUCAGUCACACUGGAACUGAGACACGGUCCAGACUCCUACGGGAGGCAGCAGUGGGGAAUAUUGGACAAUGGGCGAAAGCCUGAUCCAGCCAUGCCGCGUGUGUGAAGAAGGUCUUCGGAUUGUAAAGCACUUUAAGUUGGGAGGAAGGGCAGUAAGUUAAUACCUUGCUGUUUUGACGUUACCGACAGAAUAAGCACCGGCUAACUCUGUGCCAGCAGCCGCGGUAAUACAGAGGGUGCAAGCGUUAAUCGGAAUUACUGGGCGUAAAGCGCGCGUAGGUGGUUUGUUAAGUUGGAUGUGAAAGCCCCGGGCUCAACCUGGGAACUGCAUCCAAAACUGGCAAGCUAGAGUACGGUAGAGGGUGGUGGAAUUUCCUGUGUAGCGGUGAAAUGCGUAGAUAUAGGAAGG
rnacentral:rRNA from 1 species